UAUACCUUAACGAAAACGGAAGGAAAACAUCAUGCCAUGUUAAUAGUUGGCUACGGAAAAGAGAGAAAUAAUCCGUACUGGAUCGUGAAAAACAGCUGGGGAAACACCUGGGGUGAACAGGGAUACGCACGGAUUUAUCGAGGAGCAAAUGUGGGCAAGAUUGGAAAAUACUCCAGGUCCUCCAUCGUGUGAGGGAGACUCGACUCCUCUCCUCUCCUCUCCUCUCCUCUCCUCUCCUCUCCUCUCCUCUCCUCUCCUCUCCUCUCCUCUCCUCUC